UCAUGAGGUUGGUACACAAGUUGUCCUGGCUUGCUGCCAAAUCACAAUUCUACCUAGUCUGCCAAUACAUCCCGGGAAAAUCUAACACAGCAGCUGACGCUCUUUCCUUGAUCUCGUUUUUAGGUAUUCUUCCAGGUACACCCCUCUGCCAACAACCAACAAUCCAGGAUACCGACAUUCCACAAAUUAAUUAUGGACUAACUGAACUGCUACAACAUGCCCAAUCACUCACGCACAGCGCACUCUCAGCUAACACCAAGACCACUUACUGAC